UGAACCCAGAGCAGCGUUGCAUCAACUGGUAGUGUUCAGAAAAAUUAUUUUAGAAUUGUUGGACUGAGACUAAAGCUCAAGAUGACAUUCAGGUGGCAACAAGGAGGUCUGCUUCAGGAGAAGAUGAUACCUGGCAGGGAUCGAUCUCAGACUGCAGGCUCUCAUUCUUUCUCAGAUGCUAUGCCAGUACUCGGGAGUCAGCUGGCUUUCGGUGCACAGCUUUUUAAUUUGAUCAUUCCUGUGUGAUGUGAGUGGCAUAAUCUGCACUGGCUGCAUCUUUACACAUCAUCCAGACCAGACCUUACAAAUCAGCAGAGCAGCAUUCAAACAGUGACAGGUGAGUAUUGUCAGGAGACAUGGUGGCACAGACAAUAACUCUUAAAUUACCCUUAGGGUAUGGUGUUUCAAUUACCUAAGGGGGCACAGAAGCAUAAAUUCUUAAGUAGGCACAUUGGCACAAAUACAUGAGAGGCACUGACUCGCUGUGUUACUUAAAGGGGUACGCCGACCCUAAACAUAAUAUUCCCUGGCCAAAGGGUAUGGGAUAACCUGUCUUAUCGGGGUGGGUCCGGCCGCGGGGAUCCCCCGUGAUCUCCGUCCUGGCGCUGCAGAGUUAGGGUCAUGGAAGCCUGGGGCUUCCGUGAUCGCUACGUCACACCACAAUGACUCCUCCUCCCAUAGAUAUGAAUAGAGGAGGCGUGGCGACUGUUAUCACCAGUCAUCCGGAACGGAGUGGAGUGACUAGGAUGCUGCAACAGAGGUCGCGGUGUCCCCAGCAGCUGGACCCUUUGGAUAGUGGAUUGCAUGUCUAGCAACGGUGUACCCCUUUAAGGGGGCUUAGUGACCUAGUCAGUGAAACUGGGACUUAGUUACCAUAAUCUGCUAUAUACGGUACAUCCCUGGCACACUCAGUGCUACCC